rnacentral:lncRNA from 1 species
GUAAGCCAGCUAAUGUAUACUCAGGUCAGGACAAUUUCUUUGUUGUUUAGUGACUGUGCCUUAGGGUUCUUUAGGCACUUUGUCUCUAUUAACAUGUGGGCCAAGUCAAACUAGUUUGCAUCAUUUCCAGGGGCACUAUAUUUCUGAAUUUUAUGCUGAUUUUAAAAAAUAUUAAUUCUGUUCAUUUGAAGCACACACAACAGUGUAAUGCAUUAUCACCUUCGAAGAUUCAGUGGGUCCCUGAAACUCAAACUUGGAUCAAUGACUCCAGCUGAUAUAUUGUAACAGAGGGAGCAACAGAUAUAUGGAGUAGUAACCAAGUAAAGAAGUGACUACGGAAUCUCAAAGAUGGUGAGUAGACCCAUGGACUAGAUGGCUCCCUUUCCAUGAAAAAAAAGUGUGGUAGUUUUGUUAAUUACUGAACCCAGAGUAAGAGAUGGAAAAUGAGUAAGAGAGGGGAGCCAUAGGCCAGCUGGCAAGAAAACCAGGGUGGAUGACUAGAUGUAAUAGAAAGCAAGGUUUGAACUGAUGGCUUAGUUCUGCCUAAUGAUGAUGGUGCCUUGAUUUUGGGGAUGGGUCAGGCCACGAUCGCUUCAUCUUCUUUUUCCAGGCUUCAGUGGCAUAGCCCCAUGAUUGUUGGAGAGUUGGAGUCAUGGGCCAUUGGUUAACAAUCCCAUUGCUCUGCUGUAUAAUAUUGAUUUAUCUCAGGUAAUUUCCUGAUAAAUGAUAAUAUAAUAAUAAUUAUAUUAUUACAUCCAAAUCCCCCUAGAGUAGAAGACCUAAAUUCAAAUCUGACCUCAGAUACUUAUUAGGUAUGUGACCCUAAGCAGGUUAUUUAACUUCUGUUUGCCCCUGUUUCCUCAACUUCAGAAUCGCGAUAAAAAAUAGCACCCACCUUCCAUGAAUAUUAUAAAGAUCAAAUGAGGUAAUAUUUGUAAAACACUUAAAAUAGUGCCCAGCACAUAAUAAGCACUCAUUAAAUGCUUGUUUUCUUCCCCUUCAUUCCCUCCCUC